ACAAGUGUAUAUUAAAGUUGUUGCAGUUAAAAAGCUCGUAGUUGGAUAUCUGUCUUAACUGACCUAGCCCUUGGUGUUCGCACCUGGUGUGCUGGUUGUGGCCACCGCUGCCUUCGGUAGUUCGGCGGUCCGUCAUGUUGGACAUCCUUCAGGAGAACUAUCCUGCCAUUGAUUUGGUUGGGGUAAGGAUCCUGAUCGUUUACUUCGAAAAAAUUAGAGUGUUUAACGCAGGCUUUGUGUCGCGAAUAGAUUAGCAUGGAAUAAUAAGAUAGGACUUCGGCAUCGUUGGUGGUUGCCUUGGUUCGUUGCGUGCCGCGUGGUUUUCGGACUGCGUUGUGUUCGUGGCAGCCUUGGGUCAACAGCUGCCAGCCGUUCUAUUUUGUUGGUUUCUAGAGCUGAAGUAAUGAUUGAUAGGGAUAGUUGGGGGUGCUCGUAUUGCCGGGCCAGAGGUGAAAUUCUCGGAUUCUGGUAAGACGAACUUAUGCGAAAGCAUUCACCAAGGAUGUCUUCUUUAA
rnacentral:rRNA from 1 species